CGUCACUGAUCCUAAAAUGUCUUUAGAUGUUGGAUCAAGGAGUAUCCGAUACUGAUAAAUAUAAAGAAACAUCUCUGCAAAAAUACUUUCAUAGCUAUGAGUUUAUGCUCAACAGAUACAAGUUAGGAAGUGUUGACUACAAAGUUACACUCAGUGGCCAAGAGUCAAUGUUGUUUCUAGAUCAUUUAUCAUCUAAGAAUAAUAACUCCCUCCAUAAGAACGCAAAUUGUUACUUCAAAAGUUCGACAAAAUUCAACUAUGCACUUAUGUUGGAACCCUCAGAUAAAAUCUUUCACAAGGACACAUAUGUUACCUUUAUAAUCAUGUGAAGCAAU
rnacentral:misc_RNA from 1 species